UACGAAGGGGGCUAGCGUUGUUCGGAAUUACUGGGCGUAAAGCGCACGUAGGCGGACAUUUAAGUCAGGUGUGAAAUCUCGGAGCUCAACUCCGGAACUGCCUUUGAUACUGGGUGUCUUGAGUGUGGAAGAGGUGAGUGGAAUUCCGAGUGUAGAGGUGAAAUUCGUAGAUAUUCGGAGGAACACCAGUGGCGAAGGCGGCUCACUGGUCCAUUACUGACGCUGAGGUGCGAAAGCGUGGGGAGCAAACAGG
rnacentral:rRNA from 1 species